rnacentral:rRNA from 1 species
CACGUAGGCACCAAGCGUUGUCCGGAUUUAUUGGGCGUAAAGAGCUCGUAGGCGGUUCGGUAAGUCGGAUGUGAAAACUUUGGGCUCAACCCAAAGCGUGCACUCGAUACUGCCAUGACUAGAGUUCGGUAGGGGGGUGGGGAAUUCCUAGUGUAGCGGUGAAAUGCGCAGAUAUUAGGAGGAACACCGGUGGCGAAGGCGGAUCUCUGGGCCUUACCUGACGCUCAGGCGCGAAAGCUAGGGGAGCGAACAGG